UACAUAAGGAAUCUAAUAUUUGCUCCCUGUGGGGGGAUUAUGUGGAGAAGGCUCAGGAUCUUUAAACAUGAGUUAUGAUUAACUUACAUGCUCAACUUUUUCCUUCAUCUCUCUUCAAAGAUACAUUGAGCGGAACUGCAAUCAAGGCCAGGCAGACCUAGGAGAUGGAAAUAAGACUCUUGUUAUCCGGAGCCAGAAUAGCUGGGCGCCGGUGACUAAAGAGGUCAUUGAUUAAUUGGCUAACUUAUUCCCAGCUUUGUUCUAGAAAACAAGGGCUUUGCUGAGUGUUUGAUGAUGGCUUGAAAAAGGAAAAAAAGAAAAGGAAUAAGAAACAUGGGCCUCGGGAUCCUUGCAGUGUUUGUUACCAGGCUCUGUGAUCUUUUUCUUUCCGACUGUCUGAUGUUUCCAUUGCUGUAUUUCCAGUGUAACCAGGACAUUUUGCCACACACCUCCACACUAAACACCUGCAUAAACUGCUUCCUCUGCUCUCUAGGCUGCCACACAUGUGACUAUCCAUUUGACUAUCCCAAAGACAUGGCCUUUACCAUGCCACUUGCCUGCCCAAGAACCUACAUGCCCUAGUGAGACUGAGUUGCUCAGUCUCUGAGACUGGUUCCUAAUUUAUCUAGCCAGCUUUAUUUCCCUCCAUGCCCCACUGUGAGCUCUUCUGAGGAAAAUCUGCCUCCUUCCUGUCUCCCCAGUGUAGCUAGAGUUUUCCUGCCUGACCCACAGUCAGGACAAAUCUCUCUCACCCGCCAGUCCCACAGCUGCUCAGACCCAACCAAGUAAACACAGAGACUUAUAUUGGUUACAAACUGUAUGGCCGUGGCAGGCUAACUUGCUAACUGUUCUUACAGCUUAAAUUAAUCCGUUUCUAUAAAUCUAUACCUUGCUACGCGGUUUGUGGCUUACCGGCAUCUUCACAUGCUGUUUGUCAUCGCAGCGGCUGGCAGUGUCUGACUCAGCCUUCCACUUCCCAGCUUUAUUCUCCUCCUUGUCCUGCCUAUACUUCCUGCCUGGCCACUGGCCAAUCAGCAACACACUUGACAUACAGACCAUCCCACAGCACCCCAGCCUGGUGUUCCAGGUCCUGCCUGCCUCUGCUCUACAUCUCCCAAAGUCUGAAUGCACCCACUUCUCUCCAGCUGUCAAGGUCCUGCUCACACUUUUCAUUUCCGGUCACCCAGUUACUGCCCUCUGUGUGAAGUCUUCCUCGUGUCCCAUCUGACCCCCUCAUCUCAGUAAUGUUAGUAUUUUUGAGUGCUCAUUCACAUGACACAACGAUGGAAAAUAUCAGUUCCAACUUACUGAGUAUAAAAUGUUUCAGGUGCUGUACACUGGACAAACACCACCUAUCCUCUUUGUUGGGACCUGGAGGCAAGUGCAUGUCACCUUUUUCACAGAUAAGGCAACUGAAACUAGUAGUGAUUCUGAUGCACACCCUAACAGAAGCAGAAUUCAAGACUUUGCCAUUAUUACUGGCUACAGAAAUAGUUUCUUCCUUAGAAGUGCGUAUAGUCAGUUAAACAUUAGUGUACUACACCUGUAAUCUCAGCACUCCAAAGACUGAGGCAGGAGGAUCAUGAGUAUGAGGCUAGCCUGAACCACAUAGUGACACCCUGCCUUUAAAAACAACUGAAGUGUUUGCAAAUCCAAUGUCCUGCAAGGCUGGGCAGGUGGCUCUGUGGGUAAAGUGCUUAUUGCUCAAGCAUAAGGACCCGAGUUUGGGUCCCCACACCCAUGUCAAAGCCAGACCUGGUGGGUGACGCGUGUAAUCCUAGUGCUGGGACCUGUGGGGCAGGCAGAUCCUAGAGUCUUGCUGGCCAGCCAGUUUAGCUGAAAUGGCAAGCCCUGGGUUCACUGAGAGAAAAGUUCUCAAGCUGCUAAGUCUGGUGACCUCAGUUCAGUCCUGUCUGUCACAGGGUCGUUUUCUGACCUUCACCGUGGUAAAUGCCAGCACAACAAACACACAACAACAGUGAGAGUGAAAAACAAAAGAAAAAAAUUAGAGUGGAGAUCAACAGAGAAAGAUGCCAUGUGCACAUAAGUACACACACCAGCACAUGAAGGCAUAUAUGUCACAUACAGACACUUGUGUGCAUGCACACAUACAUGCACACACAAACAUGUUCAUACACCCUGUUCCAUAAAAUUCACCACUUAGAAGUAUGAAGUUCAAUGGUCUUUGUAUAUUCUCAUUUUCCAACCAUAAUUAGCAAUUCUGGAACAUUUCCUCACCACAUCCCGCUAACAUGCUCCCUUCUCUUAGCCUUUAGCAACUACUUUCUGUCCGUGGAUUUAUCUAUCUGUGUUUCACACAGGUGGAUCAUAUCUGAUGUGGCCUUUCGUGACUCUGGCUUCCCAGCAUAACGUCAUCAAGGUGGCAAGGACGCAGGAUUUCUUUCAAUCUGGAAUUUGAGAGAGGGGUUCUGAUAGGGUCAAUAGACUUCCCCACAGUAUGGAUGUAUAGUCAGGCUCUUGCUUCCUUCAACCUCAAGGUUUUUCACUGUGAACAACUUCCAGUCUGGAUUCUGCAAAGACAUCAAAUGUAGCAAGCACCCAUUGUGUCGUGGUUCCUCUGACCCAGGGCCAGUCUAAUAUGCCAGAAUUAUGGCACCACCACCAUCACCCCGCGAGCUCUUCUUCUGUAGAGCUUGUCCUCUCUUUGUGAACUUCUGACAAACCGUCACAGGAACCUUGGGAAAAGAAACUGCAGCUACGUUUGAUGGGAGCAGCCCCCAGCAUGAUUAGGGGUUUUCCUGGUGUGGCUGGCGGCCCAAGCCCCAGGACUGAGGAGCAGAGAACAGGUUGUGCUGAGCAACUUUCCAGAGAUGACUGACAAUCAGAACUGGCGACAGGCAGUGGCCAUCCAUCAUUGGAUGACCCCAGGCCAAGGCGGCAGCUGCCGGAAACAGACAUGAAGAUCCUCAGGAGCAAGAAACAGAAUCAAGACCCCAGGUGCAAACUGUCCUGUUGUGAGCUUCUGCCAGCCUAGACAUGGCUUCCCUACAGCCUUUGUGGUGAGAAAGGGGUUGGAAGCUCUUCAGGCUUGGCUUUCGCUCAGUCCUGUCCACCAGACUCGGCAGCUACCCUCUGAUUGGUCCCCAUUCUAUGCCUCAUUUGCAAAGACGCAGCCAACCAAUCAUGAUGCCCCUUGGUCUCUAUAACUCAGGUGCAUGGGAUGUCCGUUGUCAAACUUCUGGUGAGAGAGGAAAGGGGAAAACUUCUUUUGCCCUUCAGAUCCACUGGAGACGGUCCACUUCAAGAAUCCUGCUUUAGGGACUGACCUGCUGUUCCUUCUGUCCCAGACAUGUCACAGCUGGCACCAGCUUUCCACAGACUUGCUCUUCAGAGGACUGCUCUCCGUUGGCACCCCAAGGCUUGCUGGAGCCUAGAUCUGUAACUCUUGCUGGCAACCUCACGGUUGGUAUUGAGCUAUCAUCAUGAAGUUUGGACCUUGCAUUUUGCUGUUUGAGUUGUCAUUCCUGGGGGGUAGCCCUCGCCUAUUGCAAUGGUCGCUCCCGUGAAAAUAAAUCCCCCCGUGUUUGUUCA